GCGCACAAUCAAAACAACGGCGCCGUGCUGAUGACGUCAAACUUUUGAACGCGUUAAACCCCAUAGAUAUAUACACUAGAGAUAUUCAGCAUGUCCUCGACCAUCAGCAUCGUCCAAGCCUUUACUGCCACUUUUUCACCGCAUUUGCUGAUGAUUGCGACAGUUACUACACUAUAGGUGGAAUUUACAAGGAAUCCCAGGAUUGUGGCUCUUGGCAGUUCUGCUGUGGUACCUGUGAUAAUCGUUAUUGCUGCUCAGAUGCCUUCAGCAAAAUUACUCUGAUUAGCAGAUUUCCAGUGUAGGGGUCUGAGCUUGAUAUCCAGGGGACUUACAGGCAGUGAUAUUGUGCUCUGAGCCCUUUUGACCUCAAACUUGGUUGAUGUAAUAAGUAAACUUUUUCUUUUUUUUUAAUCUUUUGAAAAUGCCUUACUUUUGGUAAAUGUGGGUAGAGUGGGAUACUUCUGAUUCUGAUAAGUGUUGCAAAAAGUGUGAAAAAGGAAAAAAAUAAGGUGAGGUGAUAGUAUAGAAGUGUAACAUGGAACAUAAAGUGAGAUGUAAUUACACAGAUUUACAAUUCACAUUCAUAACACCAAAGGUUUAAUUCUCUCUGUAUUUUGGUGAAUUUUACACACGUGUAUAAAGCUAGGUCUGUUUUUUUCUUUUCUUUCUGCCAUAUAUUUUUAAAUGUUUUUCAUGGCAUCUUUGAUGUUUUUCAUGGCAACAAAUGACACAAUGUAGGAACAGACUUUUGUGGGUGGUAAUGUGUUUUCAUUUCACUCAGCCCGAUUAUUUAUCAAGGCACGCAGCUCAUGUCACAGCUUAUCAGGAAAGAAGCUUAAAGUUGCACAAAAAGCUUGU